UCCCUGGGGCGAAUUACAACAGCAAAUAUAAAAUUGUAUAUCCAAAAUCGAGACAUUACUAUUAUUGUGAGUCAGGCAAGACGAGGGAAGCUCCAGAAGAAGUUGCGUAAAAAUAAGAAAGGUUGGUAGGCGUGUAGAAAAGUCGGUGUGUUCUAAUGCGAGAAAUCGGACGUAUCAGGCCUCGCUCCGUUCAUGGCAGUCACCUAGUGUAUAUAUAGCAGGGCAGGUGACACAGUGCCGCAAGUGCCUGUUCUCCGCCGCUUGCUCCGCCUCCACUCCCACCAGGUCGCCUCGUCACCUCGUCGCCAGUCUUGUGUUGUCCGGGCCACAGCCAUGAAGGUGGUGCCAGUGGUGGCGGCGGUGCUGUGCCUCGCCGCGGCGGGGGUCGCCUCGCCCGUGCCGCAGGGCCAGGAGAGGGACGGCCGCUUCUUUCCUUUGAUUAUCCCAGAUUUUAUGCCCCAUAUAGAGGCACGACCCAUCAUCGUAGACCCUGGUCUUGGCUUAGCAAGCUGGCUGGGAGCCAGCAAAACCAGCUUAUGUUCCCCGGGCAAGACCUGCCUCUUAACUAUUGGUACUAACCCUAAGGGAUAGUGCUGACGAUAAUGGUAGCGAUCACAGUAGUCACGAUGGUCAUUGAUGAUGGACGAACCUCAGGUCUUUCACGACGUCCGCUUACACCCACACCCACACCUACACACCCACACCCACACGUACACACCCAGACCCACACGUGCACACCCACACAUACAUCACACUCCCAGCGCCGAUCCGUCUUAUGUAGAGCACCGAGGCCGUCUUGUUCUUGGCGGCCUCUCCUGCACCCUGUACCUGUCACCUGCGCCGCCUGUCCUGCCCCAGCGCCCGAUGCUUCCAGGUGGCCGCUGUCUCCCCUCCGUGCGUCCAGCCUGCGCGCGAGUGGCCCAGACGUGCGGCCCCUCCCUGUUCCCUGUGGGCGCCGCAGCCUUGUGUGUUGCCUCGGGACAGGUGUUCAGCGGUAUUUUGAGGCUGUCCUCGUUUUCUGUUUCUUAUUGUUCCUGUUAUUUAUUUAUUUUCGCUCUGUAAGUCGCAUCUUUAGUAUAGUGAACAGAAAAUAUGUUGCUAAAUUUGACUCAUACUCACCCUCCUUGAAGGCUCCUUAUUAUCUUUUGCUUUUAGUUUUAUUUUCGCACUGAUAAAACUACCAAGUCCGUGAAGUUUGUGAGCAUAAUUUUGAUUUUCCGGCAGUCAGCUUGCCAAACACGUCCUUUACAUGUAAGCAAACGAUAGAAGCAGACUUGUGCAGAGAUUCGAUUUGCUUCUCGUCGGCGCUCUUGUGUUUGUCCAAUAAAAGUUUAUGUUUG